UACGUAGGGCGCAAGCGUUGUCCGGAAUUAUUGGGCGUAAAGAGCUCGUAGGCGGUCUGUUACGUCCGCUGUGAAAACCCAGGGCUUAACCCUGGGCUUGCAGUGGAUACGGGCAGACUAGAGGCAGGUAGGGGAGAAUGGAAUUCCCGGUGUAGCGGUGAAAUGCGCAGAUAUCAGGAGGAACACCGAUGGCGAAGGCAGGUCUCUGGGCCAUAACUGACGCUGAGAAGCGAAAGCAUGGGGAGCGAACAGG
rnacentral:rRNA from 1 species